rnacentral:rRNA from 1 species
GCGCGCGCAGGCGGUCUUUUAAGUCUGAUGUGAAAUCUUGCGGCUCAACCGUAAGCGGUCAUUGGAAACUGGAGGACUUGAGUACAGAAGAGGAGAGUGGAAUUCCACGUGUAGCGGUGAAAUGCGUAGAGAUGUGGAGGAACACCAGUGGCGAAGGCGACUCUCUGGUCUGUAACUGACGCUGAGGCGCGAAAGCGUGGGGGGCGAACAGGAUUAGAUACCCUGGUAGUCCACGCCGUAAACGAUGAGUGCUAGGUGUUAGGGGGUUUCCGCCCCUUAGUGCUGAAGUUAACGCAUUAAGCACUCCGCCUGGGGAGUACGGCCGCAAGGCUGAAACUCAAAAGAAUUGACGGGGACCCGCACAAGCGGUGGAGCAUGUGGUUUAAUUCGAAGCAACGCGAAGAACCUUACCAGGUCUUGACAUCCUCUGACCACCCUAGAGAUAGGGCUUUCCCUUCGGGGACAGAGUGACAGGUGGUGCAUGGUUGUCGUCAGCUCGUGUCGUGAGAUGUUGGGUUAAGUCCCGCAACGAGCGCAACCCUUGAGAUUAGUUGCCAGCAUUUAGUUGGGCACUCUAAUCUGACUGCCGGUGACAAACCGGAGGAAGGUGGGGAUGACGUCAAAUCAUCAUGCCCCUUAUGACCUGGGCUACACACGUGCUACAAUGGAUGGUACAAAGGGCAGCGAAGCGGUGACGCCAAGCAAAUCCCAUAAAACCAUUCUCAGUUCGGAUUGUAGGCUGCAACUCGCCUACAUGAAGCCGGAAUCGCU